AUUGAACGCUGGCGGCAUGCCUUACACAUGCAAGUCGAACGGCAGCACGGGGGGUAACCCCUGGUGGCGAGUGGCGAACGGGUGAGUAAUAUAUCGGAACGUGUCCUGUAGCGGGGGAUAACCUAUCGAAAGAUGGACUAAUACCGCAUACGACCUACGGGUGAAAGCGGAGGACCGCAAGGCUUCGCACUAUAGGAGCGGCCGAUAUCGGAUUAGCUAGUUGGCGGGGUAACGGCCCACCAAGGCGACGAUCCGUAGCUGGUCUGAAAGGACGAUCAGCCACACUGGAACUGAGACACGGUCCAGACUCCUACGGGAGGCAGCAGUGGGGAAUUUUGGACAAUGGGCGCAAGCCUGAUCCAGCCAUGCCGCGUGAGUGAAGAAGGCCUUCGGGUUGUAAAGCUCUUUCGGCGGGGACGAAACGGUUCGUGCUAAUACCACGGACUACUGACGGUACCCGCAGAAGAAGCACCGGCUAACUACGUG
rnacentral:rRNA from 1 species